rnacentral:rRNA from 1 species
AGUGAACGCUGGCGGUAGGCCUAACACAUGCAAGUCGAACGGCAGCACAGUAAGAGCUUGCUCUUACGGGUGGCGAGUGGCGGACGGGUGAGGAAUACAUCGGAAUCUACUUUUUCGUGGGGGAUAACGUAGGGAAACUUACGCUAAUACCGCAUACGACCUACGGGUGAAAGCAGGGGAUCUUCGGACCUUGCGCGAUUGAAUGAGCCGAUGUCGGAUUAGCUAGUUGGCGGGGUAAAGGCCCACCAAGGCGACGAUCCGUAGCUGGUCUGAGAGGAUGAUCAGCCACAAUGGAACUGAGACACGGUCCAGACUCCUACGGGAGGCAGCAGUGGGGAAUAUUGGACAAAGGGCGCAAGCCUGAUCCAGCCAUACCGCGUGGGUGAAGAAGGCCUUCGGGUUGUAAAGCCCUUUUGUUGGGAAAGAAAAGCAGCAGGUUAAUACCCCGCUGUUCUGACGGUACCCAAAGAAUAAGCACCGGCUAACUUCGUG